rnacentral:rRNA from 1 species
GAUGAACGCUGGCGGCGUGCCUAAUACAUGCAAGUCGAGCGAACGGACGAGAGGCUUGCUUUUCUGAUGUUAGCGGCGUACGUGUGAGUAACACGUGGAUAACCUACCUAUAAGACUGGGAUAACUUCGGGAAACCGGUGCUAAUACCGGAUAAUAUUUUGAGCCGCAUGGUUCAAAAGUGAAAGACGGUGUUGCUGUCACUUAUAGAUGGAUCCGCGCUGCAUUAGCUAGUUGGUAAGGUAACGGCUUACCAAGGCAACGAUGCAUAGCCGACCUGAGAGGGUGGUCGGCCACACUGGAACUGAGACACGGUCCAGACUCCUACGGGAGGCAGCAGUAGGGAAUCUUCCGCAAUGGGCGAAAGCCUGACGGAGCAACGCCGCGUGAGUGAUGACGGUCUUCGGAUCGUAAAACUCUGUUAUUAGGGAAGAACAUAUGUGUAAGUAACUGUGCACAUCUUGACGGUACCUAAUCAGAAAGCCACGGCUAACUACGUG